rnacentral:rRNA from 1 species
CCUACGGGAGACUGCAGUGGGGAAUAUUGGGCAAUGGGCGCAAGCCUGACCCAGCAACGCCGCGUGAAGGAAGAAGGCUUUCGGGUUGUAAACUUCUUUUAUCAGGGACGAAGCAAGUGACGGUACCUGAUGAAUAAGCCUCUGCUAACUACGUGCCAGCAGCCGCUGCAAUACGUAGGUGGCAAGCGUUAUCCGGAUUUACUGGGUGUAAAGGGCGUCUAGGCGGGAGGGCAAGUCAGAUGGUAAAACUGUGGGGUCAACCCAUAGCCUGCAGUUGAAACUGUACUUCUUGAGUGCUGGAGAGGCAAUCGGAAUGCGGGGUGUAGCGGUGAAAUGCGUAGAUAUACGGAGGAACACCAGUGGCGAAGGCGGAUUGCUGGAGAGUAACUGACGCUGAGGCGCGAAAGCGUGGGGAGCAAACAGGAUUAGAUACCCCAGUAGUC